rnacentral:rRNA from 1 species
GAUGAACGCUGGCGGCGUGCCUAAUACAUGCAAGUCGAGCGAAUGGAUUAAGAGCUUGCUCUUAUGAAGUUAGCGGCGGACGGGUGAGUAACACGUGGGUAACCUGCCCAUAAGACUGGGAUAACUCCGGGAAACCGGGGCUAAUACCGGAUAACAUUUUGAACCGCAUGGUUCGAAAUUGAACGGCGGCUUCGGCUGUCACUUAUGGAUGGACCCGCGUCGCAUUAGCUAGUUGGUGAGGUAACGGCUCACCAAGGCAACGAUGCGUAGCCGACCUGAGAGGGUGAUCGGCCACACUGGGACUGAGACACGGCCCAGACUCCUACGGGAGGCAGCAGUAGGGAAUCUUCCGCAAUGGACGAAAGUCUGACGGAGCAACGCCGCGUGAGUGAUGAAGGCUUUCGGGUCAUAAAACUCUGUCGUUAGGGAAGAACAAGUGCUAGUUGAAUAAGCUGGCACCUUGACGGUACCUAACCAGAAAGCCACGGCUAACUACGUGCCAGCCGCCGCCGUAA